rnacentral:rRNA from 1 species
AUUGAACGCUGGCGGCAUGCCUUACACAUGCAAGUCGAACGGCAGCACGGGGCAACCUGGUGGCGAGUGGCGAACGGGUGAGUAAUGCAUCGGAACGUGCCAUUGAGUGGGGGAUAACGUAGCGAAAGUUGCGCUAAUACCGCAUAUUCUGUGAGCAGGAAAGCAGGGGACCGCAAGGCCUUGCGCUCUUUGAGCGGCCGAUGUCAGAUUAGCUAGUUGGUGAGGUAACGGCUUACCAAGGCGACGAUCUGUAGCGGGUCUGAGAGGAUGAUCCGCCACACUGGAACUGAGACACGGUCCAGACUCCUACGGGAGGCAGCAGUGGGGAAUUUUGGACAAUGGGCGCAAGCCUGAUCCAGCCAUGCCGCGUGAGUGAAGAAGGCCUCGGUUGU